AGCGAACGCUGGCGGCAGGCCUAACACAUGCAAGUCGAACGAACCUUUCGGGGUUAUUGGCGGACGGGUGUGUAACACGUGGGAACGUUCCUUUAGGUUCGGAAUAACUCAGGGAAACUUGUGCUAAUACCGAAUGUGCCCUUCUGGGGAAAGAUUUAUCGCCUUUAGAGCGGCCCGCGUCUGAUUAGCUAGUUGUUUGAGGUAAUGGCUCACCAAGGCGACGAUCAGUAGCUGGUCUGAGAGGAUGAUCAGCCACAUUGGGGCUGAGACACGGCCCAAAAUCCUCCGGGAGGGAGCAAUGGGGGAUCUUGCGAAAUGGGGGAAAGGCUGACGGAGCCAUGCCGGGUGAAUGAUGAAGGUCUUAGGAUUGUAAAAUUCUUUCACCGGGGACGAUAAUGACGGUACCCGGAGAAGAAGCCCCGGCUAACUUCGUG
rnacentral:rRNA from 1 species